UAUAUAUUUUGAAAAACAUUUGCUUCAAUGCUAGAUGAAAUUAGGCAAAAAGGUGAAUCCAGCACUUGGACAACACUUUUGCCACUUCUGAUCAAUGGGGAUCAGCCUCAUGUGCCAAGGGCCAAAUGCUAUACCGCUCUCUAGAAAGUCAAAAGAGAAUGGAAUUCAAUUGUUCGUAAAAGAAAUUUGCCCCCACCCUGUUCCACCAACCCCAACUCCCACCCUCACCAAAUAUAUUUCAAUUGCAUCAAAUUUUUCAUGUUUCUUUUCCAUGGCUGUCCUACCUUUCAGAGAUUGUGUAUAACCUUCUCUUCAAAUGAAAGGAAACCAAAUGAUUUGGUCUUCAAAGGGCAGAAAGGGAAUAAACAUACACCAUUUCACUGUCUGCCACUGCAAUGGCAUCUUUCCUCUUGGCAAUUGUAUAACAGCAUUCUUACCUUCAGGCUUUUCAUUCCUGUGGCUCUUUCUGUAGCUCUGGUGUUGGACAUUUGGUCAUUAUUUGUCAAUAAGAAACACAUUCAUGUUAUCAGGAUAACACCAAAGGCAAAUAAUAAUGUCCUAAUCAUAGAAACCAUGUUAAGGCCAUAGUUCAUUUUUUAAAAAAUCAUUAGAAUGGAAUUAUUUUUUAAAAGUGUUUUCUUUCUGGAUUACAUUUUUUUCCGGUGGUAGAAUUUAUUCUUUAAUAUCAUUUGGCAAAAUCAAUGGUUUUGGCAGCCAUUGGACUGGUUCAGUUCUUAAGGCAACAGGUCCCUUGCUUGAAGCAGUCACUUGAGAGAAAGUGAGGAUUUGCUCUUGGGAGGAAGACCUGAGUAAGUUCAAGGAGCAAAUUUAGUGACUACCAGGAAAGAAAACUGUCAGGUUCUUCAUACUUCCAGGAGGCAGUACCAGCAUAGAAUCAUGCAAACCAACGAAGAGCACAAUAUACUCACCCUACUCCUCGAUCCCAAACCAGAGUCUUGAGGAUUCACAGGAACUUCUGCUAAGACCCAGGAAGUGCCAUCGAUCUGUAAUGAUUCUUGCCUACACACAUAACAGUGUCAAUAAAGAGUCAUUGGGAUCCAUCUUAACCCUGAGUAUCCGAAAUGUCAACCUUUAGGGAUGGCUCCUGCCAAUAAAAGGUCCAUUUUGUUGCAGGCAAAGGCAGAUGCAGAUUCAUAUCCAUUACCCACGGCCCAAGAAAGUCAAAGAAUUCUGGGUGUGGAAGAGAAGUGGUUAAGAGACGGUGGCAUAGGAGAGGAGAAUUGUAGACAUACAUGGAAGAAGAAGAAAUACACACAAAACUGAAGAUCUCAUGUAUACCAAUGGGAAAUACAGUAUAACCUCAUUCAUCUAUGUGCCACCAAAUAUGAAGCUGAGGGAUUUUGGAAAUGGGCUGUCCGAGAGUGUAACUUUUUACUAUCUUUGAAGAGAAGACUUGCUAAGCAAAUGCAUGGGAUUUAAAAAAACAAAGAUAGCUAGUGAUAGGGAGGAGGAACAUGUUUUAAUUUCUUCAGAGAACAAACUCUUUUUAGGUACCUUAAGAGCACCCAUGUGAAAGGAAACACCACUGAUUUUAAUUGCAGGCAUUUUUUGAAACGAUUUAAACAAAUUCCCUAUGUUUUUUCCUAGCAUCACAUUGGUCAGUUUAUUCUAGUUCCUAUAUAUUUUUGAAGAUAUAGUAAAACUGCAUUUCUCUAUCAAUAUUCUAUAAGUCAUAAUGAGCAUCUUACCAUUUAUUUAAAUAAUGGAGGUUCAAUUGCACAUCCCAUCCUCCUCCCUCAUUUCCUUAUAUGCCUCUCAAGUUAAGGCACCCACCUAUCCUACAAUUAUCAUUGCAGUCAAGGGGCUCAGAAUGGUCCCUUUAAAUAUUGUUACAAUGUUCCCAAGAGCACACAUGUGCUGAUUUUCAUCUUGGAAUAUAUGGAAACUGGGAGUCUAUUUUAAUCCCUAGAGAGGACUAAAGUCUGGUAUAAUUCUGUGGUGAGGUUGGGUAGGGUUUGUUAAUAACUUUCCACCUCAGUCACAAAUAGCUCGUUUCACUGACCCUACCCUAUCUUGUAAGGUAAGGCUAGAUGGGAAAGCGAAGCUGGUGCCCUUUACCCAAGAUUAAGGGAAUGAAGUAGGGUGGAUAAGAACAUAAACUUUUGAGGGGACAGGCAGCUGCAGAAGGAGGCUGAUGUGCCUAUGUGGUAGUUCUGUACAUAAAUCCUCCAUUCUGCUGUGAUUUACAAUGAUAGACUUUCACUGGCUAUGUCACAAAUCCCUGGUGAUCUGGGUUUAUCACUGAAACAACCUACUGGCUCUUAAUUACUGCAUCUGCACACACAUUGUAAUAAAGCAUGAACACAAAAGGGUGAUUUGCAGGUUAAAAAUUCCCAAAGCACAGUUCUAAUUUACAUGAUCCUUGCAUGUGCAUUUACAGUUCAUCAAGAAAUGAUCAAGUCUGUUUUGUUUAGGUCCUAUUAGCUCAGGUUUGGGAAAUUGGGAAAGCCAAGGAGUAUUCUGGUUUCAGCUUGUAGGUAUGGUUCAGGGGCUGCCUCAGAGACUGACCUUGUUUUUAAUUCCCUGUAUCCAUAAAAAUAAAAUAAAAUAAUAAAACAUUAGUUUUAUUAGUUUAAGCUCAUGCACAUUUACGACAGCCUGAAAAUUUGCUGUUUCUUUCCAUAGUAUGGUAACUUUUCUAGACUAAUCUCAGAAUGUGUAAUGUCUCAUGCCAGGGAAGAAAAAGUCAAUGACUUAAUAUAAUUGCCCAUUUAUCAUUAGUUAAAGGUUGGAGAGAGAGAGAGAGACAGAAAGAUAAGUGAUACAGGUAUUUCUCCCUCUUCUGGUUUCAGAGAUAAUAGGUCUGAAAGUGUUUUUGAAAAAGUAAAAGCACUUAUAAAUGUCAGGCGUUGUGAUUAUUGUCAUUUUUAGUAAUCAGUACUGAGGGCUGGAACAGCUUAAAUAUGCCUUUUGCCUAGUAACCAAGGUAGUUGCGAAUGAACCUGAUUCUUAUGGAAACAUAUCGCUUGCAAUCAGAUUCACAUUGCUCAUUGGAUAGGUGGUAGUGCUAAAUUGCCAUCUGCAAUAUUAUCACAAGAGGUGACUCUGAAAGUCAGCAGAGAUUUAUGACAGCAUUAGCUGUGUGACCUUCUCAAAGUCAUCACCAUCUCUGGAUCGCACUUUCUCUGUGAAAUGAUGGUAUAUUCAACAGUCAAUUUUCAUGUUAACGAGAUGGGACACAAUGAAGAGAUGUAAAUCUCAAGUCAUUUUGCUAAUACAGUAAAACCUCACUGAUUUGGAGGAACAGAGGGAAAGGAUUGUCUGAAUGAGUAAAGCAAGUCCUGCAUUACAAAAUAGGUUUAAAGAAUGACAAUUUUAUUACUUUAAGUCUAUUUUGUAAUUCAAACUGACUAUAAAACAUUGCCUUAGUGGAGAUCCUCGUGAGAGCUACUUUAGCCUAUAGAUAUGUAACGAAUAUGAUUAUAUCUAAUAAGUGCUUCUAACAUUUGAAAAGGGUUUGUUCUCUUAAGAAAAAAUUCAACUGACAUUCCAGUCUAAACUCUUCAUUUGCUUAACAAACCUUUCUUGUCCUCAUGCCUGAUAAUAUAAAGUUAACUUGUAGACUGGUCCCUGUCUAGUUUAUCACAAAUUAUUAAUUAGAGGGCUUCAAAUUAAUGAGGUUUUACUGCUAUUUCUACCUCCUUCUCCAUUGAUUUUUUUUUUUUGCAUCACUAAUACGUAGUGGUAACCAGAUUCACGUUCAUCUCUUGCCCCUUCUCUUGCUCACUCUCAGAAAACAGCAGGUAGCAAGAAGGAAGAAGACAAAGGCAAGCUUCUUGGUAAUCCAGAAAUGGAAUAAGCAAUCGUUGGGUAUGCAGCACUGAUCGAUCAUACUAUUAUCCAUAGUUGAGAAAAGGGUUGACUUAUUUCAAAAGACUGGCUGUAGGAAUGACCAAGGAAAGCGAUUUGAAAGAUGCCUGGCAGGUAGCACUAUGGUUAGAGAAGUUGAAAACAUUUAGGAUCUACUGAAAUAUUUUUCUAUUUGCAUAUCAAAAUUCAGAUAAUCUGGAAAUCGUGAGCUGUCAAUAAAGUUACUUGAUAAAAAACUUUGCAGCAGUACUAGCUGAGGGAAAAAAAGCUUGAUUGCUGGUUGUAAUGAAAAAAUAGCUGGUCUAAAGUUUUGGGGUCUUCAUGUACCAAAACAUCUGGGUGAAAAGUAAAAAGUCAGCCAAAUAUGUGCAGAUUUUUUUGUUUGUUUAUAUAACAUCAAACGUCUGGUUAUCUGAAAACUUCUGGGCACUUGGCAUCAUGUGGAUGUUUUAGAGUCAUCUUGUUACAGUCCAUGGCUCCUUUUUAACCAUGAUGAGUAUGAAUGAUGAAUUCGUGAGAGCAAUGCAUCCAAUCCAGCUCAAUUUUCAUUCUGCAACUCACUUCAAUGAUACAAUUAGGUUCUCCGUGCAAAUAACAUGAGAAAAAGACAGGUGCUAAAUACUUUGGCCAUCAAGUUGGCCAUUGUAAAUAUGAAAUGAGCCAAAAGCUUGGCUAAAUUGUCAGUGUCAUCAGUUCACAUUGGUGGGAAAGAAAGUUACUGCUUUUUGACACAUAGUAAAACCUUGAUUAAUUGGAAUCCAUAAGGGAUGAAUGGAAUUUUCAAUAAGAACAACCAUUUUGUUCAUUGUUGGCUAAUAACAGUUUUUCUUAAAAUGCUUCUAUCUACUUUCUCGCCUCAGGGAAGCAGCCUCUAACGUUUGAGGGUCAAUCCAGAUGGAGAGAAGAUAGAGGAGAAAGAGCCGAAUGUGACCCAACCAUAGGUCAUCUCUUGACUGGCAAACUAACUUUUCCAUCAGGAUCCUGAGGGAUAGAGAGGGAAAGAGAGGAGCAGAAGUGCAACCAUUGUCUCUGAAGAAGAAAAGUUUUGGCUUGCCUGUCUGUUGGUCUGUGGUUGGGAAACACUGUUCUUCACCUUAAGAUGCCCAUGGGAUCUUGGUCGUACAAGAGCAACAUGGCACAUGCUGAAUAUUUAGCCCAGCAUUAGGAAGACAUGGAUCCAAAAGUAUUGAAAAAAUGACCAGUGUGUGUAAAGGAGACUCCGAGAUUGACUACCAGACUUCUAGAAUGAUGUAACCAUACCUACAUAGAUUGGCUCAACAUAGGCAACAUCCUGGAGCACCUAUCCGUACCUGGAAUUAUUCUAUACAUCUAUUUUUUAUGUGUUUAUGGUUUGUCUCCUUCCAACAGAAUGCAAGCUCCUUGAAGACAUUAUUGGAGUCAUGGACAAGCACAGUGCAUACAACAUUUUGAAAAUUGAGGCCAGACGCUCCCUAUCAUCUCAGCAAAGACACUAAUUCAGCAGAGCUGGCCAGCGAAUCUUCGACAGGAAUUGAGGAUCUGAGCAACUGGGAAAAAAGGGAUGAAUGGGUUUAAAUGCUUGACCUGAACUCCUCAUCCAAUGACGACUAUUCAGAAAAAACAAACAAACAAACAAACAACAUCCAGAAGGCUGGACACGGUG
rnacentral:lncRNA from 1 species